rnacentral:tRNA from 18 species
GGGUCUGUAGCUCAGCUGGUUAGAGCACCGUGUUGAUAACGCGGGGGUCAGUGGUUCAAGUCCACUUAGACCCACCA